rnacentral:rRNA from 1 species
GGUAGCAAACAGGAUUAGAUACCCUGGUAGUCCACGCCGUAAAACGAUGACAACUAGCCGUUGGGAGGGUUUACCUCUUAGUGGCGAAGCUAACGCGUUAAGUUGUCCGCCUGGGGAGUACGGCCGCAAGGUUAAAACUCAAAGGAAUUGACGGGGACCCGCACAAGCGGUGGAGCAUGUGGUUUAAUUCGAUGCAACGCGAAGAACCUUACCUGGUCUUGACAUACACGGAACUUUCCAGAGAUGGAUUGGUGCCUUCGGGAACCGUGAUACAGGUGCUGCAUGGCUGUCGUCAGCUCGUGUCGUGAGAUGUUGGGUUAAGUCCCGUAACGAGCGCAACCCCUAUCCUUAUUUGCCAGCACAUCAUGGUGGGAACUAUAAGGAGACUGCCGGUGAUAAACCGGAGGAAGGCGGGGACGACGUCAAGUCAUCAUGGCCCUUACGACCAGGGCUACACACGUGCUACAAUGGGAAGGACAAAGGGUUGCUAAGCCGCGAGGUGGUGCUAAUCUCAUAAACCUUUUCGUAGUCCGGAUCGGAGUCUGCAACUCGACUCCGUGAAGUCGGAAUCGCUAGUAAUUGUGGAUCAGAAUGCCACGGUGAAUACGUUCCCGGGUCUUGUACACACCGCCCGUCAUACCAUGGGAGUGGGUUGCACCAGAAGUAGCUAGUCUAACUGUUUACAGGGGACGGUUACCACGGUGUGAUUCAUGACUGGGGUAAAGUCGUAACAAGGUA